rfam:Natranaerobius trueperi strain DSM 18760 ZB100037, whole genome shotgun sequence.
UCCAUCGCGAGGUGGAGUCUGAAGGAAGCCUAAUGUAAACUCUCGGUCUGACGAAUAGAAACCACAUACAAGGCAUACGUGGGGUGGAUGAGUGUGCAUAUCAACAAAAGUCCAAUACCACCCGAACCCCACGGUGUAAAUGUGGCAGAUGUAUGAGAGGAAAGGUACCGUU